rnacentral:rRNA from 1 species
GAUGAACGCUAGCGGCAGGCUUAAUACAUGCAAGUCGUGGGGCAGCAUGACUGUAGCAAUACAGUUGAUGGCGACCGGCAAACGGGUGCGGAACACGUACACAACCUUCCUUUUAGUGGAGAAUAGCCCAGGGGAAACUUGGAUUAAUACUCCGUAACAUAUAGAAGUGGCAUCACUUUUAUAUUAUAGCAGCAAUGCGCUAGAAGAUGGGUGUGCGGCUGAUUAGAUAGUUGGCGGGGUAACGGCCCACCAAGUCGACGAUCAGUAACUGGUGUGAGAGCACGACCAGUCACACGGGCACUGAGACACGGGCCCGACUCCUACGGGAGGCAGCAGUAAGGAAUAUUGGUCAAUGGACGCAAGUCUGAACCAGCCAUGCCGCGUGGAGGAUGAAGGUCCUCUGGAUUGUAAACUUCUUUUAUAUGGGACGAAAAAAG